rnacentral:rRNA from 1 species
CUAACACAUGCAAGUCGAACGCGCUCCAUUCGGUAGCAAUACUGGUGAAGAGCGAGUGGCGAACGGGUGAGUAACACAUGAGCAACCUGCCCCGAAGACCGGGACAACACCGGGAAACCGGUGCUAAUACCGGAUAUCCCUAUCGGACCGCAUGAUCUGAUAAGGAAAUGGAUUCCGCUUCGGGAGGGGCUCGUGGCCUAUCAGCUAGUUGGCGGGGUAACGGCCCACCAAGGCAUCGACGGGUAGCUGGUCUGAGAGGACGAUCAGCCACACUGGGACUGAGACACGGCCCAGACUCCUACGGGAGGCAGCAGUGGGGAAUCUUGCGCAAUGGGCGAAAGCCUGACGCAGCAACGCCGCGUGGAGGACGAAGGCUUUCUGAGCUGUAAACUCCUUUCAGCAGGGACGAUAGUGACGGUACCUGCAGAAGAAGCACCGGCCAACUACGUGCCAGCAGCCGCGGUAAU